CCUACGGGAGGCAGCAGUGGGGAAUAUUGGACAAUGGGGGCAACCCUGAUCCAGCCAUGCCGCGUGUGUGAAGAAGGCCCUCGGGUUGUAAAGCACUUUCAGUGAGGAAGAACGCCUGGUGGUUAAUACCCAUCAGGAAAGACAUCACUCACAGAAGAAGCACCGGGUAACUCCGUGCCAGCAGCCGCGGUAAUACGGAGGGUGCGAGCGUUAAUCGGAAUUACUGGGCGUAAAGCGCGCGUAGGUGGCUUGAUAAGCCGGUUGUGAAAGCCCCGGGCUCAACCUGGGAACGGCAUCCGGAACUGUCAAGCUAGAGUGCAGGAGAGGAAGGUAGAAUUCCCGGUGUAGCGGUGAAAUGCGUAGAGAUCGGGAGGAAUACCAGUGGCGAAGGCGGCCUUCUGGACUGACACUGACACUGAGGUGCGAAAGCGUGGGUAGCAAACAGGAUUAGAUACCCUUGUAGUC
rnacentral:rRNA from 1 species